UCGGAUUGUACUCUGCAACCCGAGUACAUGAAGCUGGAAUCGCUAGUAAUCGCGAAUCAGAAUGUCGCGGUGAAUACGUUCCCGGGUCUUGUACACACCGCCCGUCACACCAUGGGAGAUGGAUAUGCCCAAAGUCAGUGACCUAACCGCAAGGGAGGAGCUGCCUAAGGUGGAGCCAUUAACUGGGGUGAAGUCGUAACAAGGUACC
rnacentral:rRNA from 1 species